AGUGAACGCUGGCGGUAGGCCUAACACAUGCAAGUCGAACGGCAGCACAGGAGAGCUUGCUCUCUGGGUGGCGAGUGGCGGACGGGUGAGGAAUACAUCGGAAUCGACUUUUUUGUGAGGGAUAACGUAGGGAAACUUACGCUAAUACCGCAUACGACCUACGGGUGAAAGCAGGGGAUCUUCGGACCUUGCGCGAUUGAAUGAGCCGAUGUCGGAUUAGCUAGUUGGCGGGGUAAAGGCCCACCAAAGCGACGAGCCGUAGCUGGUCUGAGAGGAUGAUCAGCCACACUGGAACUGAGACACGGUCCAGACGCCUACGGGAGGCAGCAGUGGGGAAUAUUGGACAAUGGGCGCAAGCCUGAUCCAGCCAUACCGCGUGGGUGAAGAAGGCCUUCGGGUUGUAAAGCCCUUUUGUUGGGAAAGAAAUCCAGCUGGCUAAUACCCGGUUGGGAUGACGGUACCCAAAGAAUAAGCACCGGCUAACUACGUGCCAGCCGCCGCGGUAA
rnacentral:rRNA from 1 species